AGGGUGAGAGCUCUUUCUCGAUUUGAUGGGGGGGGGUGCAUGGCCGUUCUUAGUUGGUGGAGUGAUCUGUCUGGUUGAUUCCGAUAACGAACGAGACUCUACCCUACUAACUAGUCGGCGGAUCGUAACCCUGAGAUGGUUAGUUCGUAUUUUUAGGCGUGCGUCGUAGUUAAGACGCUAUCCCGACGUUCGAUGCUUUAUUGCUACUACUACUGCUGGGGGCGUCCGUCGCAAUGUAUCUUCUUAGAGGGAUCAGCGGCGUAUAGCCGCACGAGAAAGAGCAAUAACNGGUCUGUGAUGCCCUUANAUGUUCUGGGCCGCACGCGCGCUACAAURCAGGGUGCANCGUGCUUUCCCUCUCCGAAAGGAGCGGGUAACCCGUUGAAACCCCUACUUAAUAGGGRGUGGGGAUUGUAAUUAUAUCCCAUAAACGAGGAAUUCCAAGUAAUCGCGAGUCAUUAACUCGCGCUGAUUACGUCCCUGCCCUUUGUACACACCGCCCGUC
rnacentral:rRNA from 1 species